rnacentral:rRNA from 1 species
AGCGAACGCUGGCGGCAGGCUUAACACAUGCAAGUCGAGCGGGCGUAGCAAUACGUCAGCGGCAGACGGGUGAGUAACGCGUGGGAACGUGCCCUUUGGUUCGGAACAACACAGGGAAACUUGUGCUAAUACCGGAUAAGCCCUUACGGGGAAAGAUUUAUCGCCGAAGGAUCGGCCCGCGUCUGAUUAGCUUGUUGGUGAGGUAACGGCUCACCAAGGCUACGAUCAGUAGCUGGUCUGAGAGGAUGAUCAGCCACACUGGGACUGAGACACGGCCCAGACUCCUACGGGAGGCAGCAGUGGGGAAUAUUGGACAAUGGGGGCAACCCUGAUCCAGCCAUGCCGCGUGAGUGAUGAAGGCCCUAGGGUUGUAAAGCUCUUUCAGCUGGGAAGAUAAUGACGGUACCAGCAGAAGAAGCCCCGGCUAACUCCGUGCCAGCCGCCGCAGUAACAC